UACGUAGGAGGCUAGCGUUGUCCGGAUUUACUGGGCGUAAAGCGCACGUAGGCGGCUUUGUAAGUUAGAGGUGAAAGCCCGGAGCUCAACUCCGGAACUGCCUUUAAGACUGCAUCGCUUGAAUCCAGGAGAGGUGAGUGGAAUUCCGAGUGUAGAGGUGAAAUUCGUAGAUAUUCGGAAGAACGCCAGUGGCGAAGGCGGCUCACUGGACUGGUAUUGACGCUGAGGUGCGAAAGCGUGGGGAGCAAACAGG
rnacentral:rRNA from 1 species